UCGCUCAGAACGAACGCUGGCGGCAGGCUUAACACAUGCAAGUCGAACGCCCCGCAAGGGGAGUGGCAGACGGGUGAGUAACGCGUGGGAAUCUACCGUACCCUACGGAAUAACGCAUGGAAACGUGUGCUAAUACCGUAUACGCCCUACGGGGGAAAGAUUUAUCGGGGUAUGAUGAGCCCGCGUUGGAUUAGCUAGUUGGUGGGGUAAAGGCCUACCAAGGCGACGAUCCAUAGCUGGUCUGAGAGGAUGAUCAGCCACAUUGGGACUGAGACACGGCCCAAACUCCUACGGGAGGCAGCAGUGGGGAAUAUUGGACAAUGGGCGCAAGCCUGAUCCAGCCAUGCCGCGUGAGUGAUGAAGGUCUUAGGAUUGUAAAGCUCUUUCACCGAUGAAGAUAAUGACGGUAGUCGAGAAGAAGCCCCGACC
rnacentral:rRNA from 1 species